GAUGAAGAACGUAGCGAAAUGCGAUAAGUAAUGUGAAUUGCAGAAUUCAGUGAAUCAUUGAAUCUUUGAACGCACAUUGCGCCCGCCAGUAUUCUGGCGGGCAUGCCUGUUCGAGCGUCAUUACAACCCUCAGGCCCCCGGGCCUGGCGUUGGGGAUCGGCGGAAGCCCCCUGUGGGCACACGCCGUCCCUCAAAUACAGUGGCGGUCCCGCCGCAGCUUCCAUUGCGUAGUAGCUAACACCUCGCAACUGGAGAGCGGCGCGGCCAUGCCGUAAAACACCCAACUUCUGAAUGUUGACCUCGAAUCAGGUAGGAAUACCCGCUGAACUUAAGCAUAUCAAUAAGCGGAGGA
rnacentral:misc_RNA from 1 species